AGCGGCGGACGGGUGAGUAAUGCUUGGGAAUCUACCUAGUAGUGGGGGAUAACGUGUGGAAACGCACGCUAAUACCGCAUACGUCCUACGGGAGAAAGCAGGGGAUCUUCGGACCUUGCGCUAUUAGAUGAGCCCAAGUCGGAUUAGCUAGUUGGUGGGGUAAUGGCUCACCAAGGCUACGAUCCGUAGCUGGUCUGAGAGGAUGAUCAGCCACACUGGGACUGAGACACGGCCCAGACUCCUGCGGGAGGCAGCAGUGGGGAAUAUUGCACAAUGGGCGAAAGCCUGAUGCAGCCAUGCCGCGUGUGUGAAGAAGGCUCUAGGGUUGUAAAGCACUUUCAGUAGGGAGGAACAGCUUAAGACUAAUACUCUUGAGCCUUGACGUUACCUACAGAAGAAGCACCGGCAAACUCCGUGCCAGCAGCCGCGGUAAUACGGAGGGUGCGAGCGUUAAUCGGAAUUACUGGGCGUAAAGCGCGCGUAGGUGGUUUGAUAAGCUAGCUGUGAAAGCCCCGGGCUCAACCUGGGAACUGCAGUUAGAACUGUCUGGCUAGAGUACAGUAGAGGGUGGCGGAAUUUCCUGUGUAGCGGUGAAAUGCGUAGAUAUAGGAAGGAACAUCAGUGGCGAAGGCGGCCACCUGGACUGAUACUGACACUGAGGUGCGAAAGCGUGGGGAGCGAACAGGAUUAGAUACCCUGGUAGUCCACGCCGA
rnacentral:rRNA from 1 species